rnacentral:rRNA from 1 species
AGAAUCAACGCUGGCGGCGUGCCUAACACAUGCAAGUCGAACGAGAAAGGGGAGCAAUCCCUGAGUAAAGUGGCGCACGGGUGAGUAACACGUGACUAACCUACCCUGGAGUGGGGGAUAACUGAGGGAAACCUUAGCUAAUACCGCAUAACACCUACGGGUCAAAGGAGCAAUUCGCUUUGGGAGGGGGUCGCGGCCGAUUAGUUAGUUGGCGGGGUAAUGGCCCACCAAGACAGUGAUCGGUAUCCGGCCUGAGAGGGCGCACGGACACACUGGAACUGAAACACGGUCCAGACUCCUACGGGAGGCAGCAGUGGGGAAUUUUGCGCAAUGGGGGAAACCCUGACGCAGCAACGCCGCGUGGAGGAUGAAGUACUUCGGUACGUAAACUCCUUUCGAUCGGGACGAUAAUGACGGUACCGGAAGAAGAAGCCCCGGCUAACUUCGCGCCAGCAGCCGC